CCUUCUGAUUUUUUUCAGCUCAGCCUGCGACUUCUCUAAAGAGUCUAAUUUGCUUCGGUGUUCAGUUUGGUACCUCUUUAAAGUUGCCUGCAAGCAAAGCAUUUAAAACACCUCAUGAUGCACUCAGCCUGUAACUGGGAAUCCCUCCUCAUGCCUCUACAGCUCCUUGCUCAACAGGCUGCAGGGGACCAGGACACAAUGAAGGAACCAGGACACGAUGAGAACAGUCAACCCCUUGAUUAGCACGGAAAAGGAACUCCCACUCAGGAUAGUUGAGGGGAGAGACAGAGAUUAAUUUUACAGUCUGACUGGUGCAGAAGAGAUAAACAGACUUCCAAAGCUCGUAAGACCCUGGAAGAUGCCUGAGCCAAGUCCCAUGGCAGCGAGCGACACGCAGGAUUGUACCCGGCCCGGCCACUGACUUGCGAGCCCGUCCCCUCUGUACGGAACCAAACAGCAUGAGGGGAACGCACAGAAGAUAAAGCCGGCCAGUAGCUGCCACGGCUGUUUUCCCCGGCCACCCGCUCUCCCCGCCAGCCCCUCGCGCCCAGCCAGGAGCACCAGCCCAUUCCACGUUGCGCUCAGCGCGAGGAACAGAAUGAGAGAGUCCGGCUCUUUGAGAAUCCUUCUCCCGUCUCAUAAUUACGCAAAGAGUGAAGGGAUGGAGCACAGGCACUGCAGUAGCCUAGCACUUCUUGUUUAUGAUACCAAUUAUGAUCCCAUUUUAUUUAAUUUUCUAAUUCAGGAUUGCAAUU